UAUAUAUAUAUAUAUAUAUAUAUAUAUAUAUAAUCACUAUUCAAAGACAACUACAUACACAUAGAUGCACUAUAAUCUAAAGUGUUGGGCCCGUACGCAGCAAUGCUUUGGAUUAUAGUGUAUAUUUUAAACAACUACUAAUAUUUAAAAAAAAAAUGUGGGCCCCAUAUUAAACACCAUGCCCCAUAUUAAACGCCAACCAGUAAUAAAUAAAAAAAAAAGAAGAAAAAAAAGUAGAACCCACCACAUCCAAACUCACGGGAAAAAAAAUGCAUCCCAUAUUAACAAAAUCAAGCAAUAUUAAAAAAAAAAGUGAAUCCCAUAUUAAAAAAACAAACAAUGUUAUAAAAAAAGUGCUUCGAAAAUCAAACAAUUAAAUCAAUAAUGAUGGAUUCAUUGCCACAUGGGUAUCAACCCAUUAGUUGGAGCAAAUGAAAUUAUUGUAUAGCAACAUACUUAAAAUACAAAAGUGCUUAGAAAAUCAAACAAUUAAAUCAAUAAUGAUGGAUUUAUUGCCACAUGCGUAUUAACCCAUUAGUGGAAGCAAAUGAAAUUAUUAUACAGCUACCAUGUCCAAACUCACGGGAAAAAAAAAAGGUGGAGUCCAUAUUAACAAAAUCAAGUAAUAUA